CAUCAAUAUGUAACCCAUAUACGUGUGGUAGUUUGAAACACUUACUUGGUGCAUACUUAUAAGGAAAGAUUUUAAAUACUGCUUCUGUAAUUUUAUAUUUUUUAUUUUAGUAUUUUUUAAUUUAAAAUGUAUUAAUUUAGUAUUCUGUCGUUUUAUUUUUAUCUUUUUAUUAUCGAUUUUACUAGUUUUUUUCGUUAAAUCGGUGCUAAAAUUAAAACUAAAGGGUAUAAAAAUGAAUAUUCGAUAAUCCUAGGUGGGAUAUUUAAAGUUUUUUUUUUAUAAUUUAACAAAAUAUUAACAAAAAAAUUGACGAAAAGAAGCCACAUGACACUAACUUGAUACACUUUAAACCAUAGAGUAAGUGAGAAAAUACGAAAUCACAGGAGUGGUAUUUGAAGUUUACCUUUUAUUUUUUACAGGAGAUAUGUGAAAUGACAGUUUUGCCAUCACAAAUAUGUUCCUCAAAAAGUCCUAACUUUUAGAAUCAUACAGAAAUGUUCUCUUAAAAAUCUCCAACGGUCACUUUCUUUCUACCAUUACAUAUAAUAUAAAAGAGGUAAAAAGAAUAAUUUAUCUUAUUCACUAAUCAGGGUUAAGUAUUUUACUUACGGUUAGCUAUAUUUUUCUAACGGAUCCUAACAGUAAGGGUAAUAAUAUUUGCUAUUCGAUAUUUUUAUGAGAAGUUGUACGUAG
rnacentral:lncRNA from 1 species